CAUCCAAAGCAUUAGCCACCAACCUGAAACUCAAAUUACAUAUACAAAUUUUGCUUCAGGACUUCCUUUCAUCACACUUUUAAAGACCAUAAAGACUACUUAUAGGCUUUCAACUUCUUUUAAAUUACCAUUUUCAGAAAGUAUAAUAUUUUUCUAUAAUCAUUAUAACACAGGAACAUCACUAAUCAGACACCCAAAUUGCAUUUGAUGUGAAAGAAAUCACUUGUGAUUCUGUUUAUUUUCUCAAAUCAAAACCCAAAGAAUAGAGCAG
rnacentral:misc_RNA from 1 species